rnacentral:tRNA from 27 species
GGCCCCUUAGCUCAGUGGUUAGAGCAGCCGACUCAUAAUCGGUUGGUCCCCAGUUCAAAUCUGGGAGGGGCCACCA